AAACUUAAAAAAAUAAAAAGUGAGUAGGUAUUAUCUUCAAGAAAAAUGUUGCUUGCUACAGGGAAUGUUUAGUACUACAGUCCCUCCAUCUAGAAUUCUCUUCCUAUUGUUUCCUAGAGAAAUUACUUAUUCUUUAAAACUCACCUCAAAUAUCACCUUUCCUGGGAAGCUUCUCUUCAGUUCUCUAAGCACAGUAAGUGUUCCCUCUCCUAAUUUCCACUCUAGAAAACGGGCCUCUGGUGUAGGUUUACCCACCAGGCAUGUGGGAAGCCAACAGUAGGAGCUUGGUCAUCUUUGUGUUCACAACUUACUUUCUAUAAAUAUUUAAUAAAAUUAUGAAUAAAUAAAUGUGCUAUAAAAGUAUAACUUUUUAAAUAAACACCCUCAAAAUCAACAUUUUAUUAUUCUAGUUAUAACAAAGGAGGGGAAAAUGUGAGGGUGAAACAGUUUAAUAUGUUGUUCUGUAUCACUUGAGGAACAUUGAUAAAUUUAAGAAUUUUUUUAAGAUUUAUUUAUUUAUUUACUUAUGAUAGACAUAGAAAGAGAGAGAGAGAGAGAGAGAGAGAGAGAGAGAGAGAGAGGCAGAGACACAGGAGGAGGGAGAAGCAGGCUCCAUGCCGGGAGCCCGAUGUGGGACUCGAUCCUGGGACUCCAGGAUUGCACCCUGGGCCAAAGGCAGGCACCAAACUGCUGAGCCACCCAGGGAUCCCCAAGAAAUAUUUUUAAUGCAGACGCUCAACAGCUGAGCCACGCAGGCGUCCCUCAUAUAGUGAAUUCUGUUUUGAAAAACCUCUCCCACUGCCCAGCUACUCAGGAUCUGAAUUUCUCUAUGGAGCUGUGAAUUACACUCGUAUAAAAAAUUCACCGGGAUUUGGAAAUCAAAGCAGUACGAGGUAGUAUUUCUUGUGGAAAACAUCAUUGGCCAUAUUUUUGUCGAAAGCAUCAAAAAAUAACUCAGAGAUGUUCAGUUAGAGCACAGCUGAAUAUUCUCACGUAUCAAAGACAUUGAUCAUAUAGAGUUUGUAAACAUAGGAAAAUGUAAUAGCCAUAAGGGCAAAAUUGAGUCUGUGGAAAAAGGAGUCUCACAUUUUUUUUUUCUGGGUGAAUUUUUGGCAGGGAACUGUCAAAAAAGGCAGUUUGCUCUUUAGCUGACCAACAGAUUUAUCAGGGAAAGUGGCUUUAACUCUGUGGUUUCAAAUUGGAAAAAAUGACAAUAUUUCGAGCUCUCUGUGAAGACAGUAAGGCUCCUGUCUUCCCGUUAGUACCUCCACCCUAGUUAUGUUUGUUUUUCCUGAUAUUGUUUUUCCUGAGACACCCAGGAACCCCUAGUUUCUUUUCUUUUUUUUAAUACUUUAUUUAUUCAUGAGAGACACAGAGAGAGAGAGGCAGAGACACAGGCAGAGGGAGAAGCAGGCUCCAUGCAGGAAGCCCGAUGUGGGACUCGAUCCCAGGACUACAGGAUCACACCCUGGGCUGAAGGCAGGUGCCAAACCGCUGAGCCACCCAGGGAUCCCCAGAACCCCUAGUUUCUAAUUUAAAUACAAAGUCAGCCCCACCUAGUGUUCUCAAAAUAUGCUUUUAUUACUUAACUCUCUUGCAUAUUUUUUUAAUGUUUCGCAUUUUGGUAAUUUAAACGCCUAACGAUUCUAACUUUUACAUAAGUCUCUCAAAUGUGAUUAAAUUUCAGCUAAUCUUCAUUGCUUUUCCAUGGUUUUCCCACACUCCACUACAUUUCUCAGUGGCUUUUAACCAUGAUGUGUGCAUUAUUCUCUGAGCCUUAGCUUAUGCUGUUCACCAGACAAGAGAAGUCUCUUGAUCACUCAGACAGACUAGUUAAAUUACCCUCCUUUGAAUUUUUACAGAACUCAUUUUAUAUACAACUAAUUUGACAUUUACAAUUCACUGCCUGGUACAACUGAUUUUCUUUUUAAGUAUAUAAGAUUUAUCUUUAAAUUGGAUUUUAAAUAGAUCAAAGAGAGAAAGUCUUAGAAGUUUAACCCAUAUUAAAUACAUCGUAGAUUUUGUACAAAUCAUUAUCAGUAAUAUAUUUUUCCAAUAAAACCUUCUGUCAGUCCUUUAUUACAUAUUUCUAAACUCUUUUUUCUCUAAUAAAGGGGAGUUUAUGUCCCUAGAAACCACAGAUUUCUGAGAAAAUGUUUCCCAUGAGAAAUGCUAAUUUUAGAGAUUAAACCUUUUUUUUUUUCAAGUUACUGUUAUAUUCCCAAUUUAGUGAUAAUUACUGAAGGAAACAUUUGAGCAUUAGAGCCCAGAAUAAUUAUUUACAUUAAUCAGAGUACAUGUUUGUCAUAUAUAAUAAUUAUCUUAUGCUUCUUGAUGCACAUAGAUUAUAAAAAUUACACCAUUCUCCACCCUUCCUUGUUAUUAUGUCAUUUAUAUUGUCACUUCACUUGAACCUGGGCUGACCUUGUGGGAGCUUUCGGCCCACAGAAAACAGUGAAAGUGACAGUAUACAGUUUAUAUAUUUAUGGACAGUUUAUAGUCCAGGCCUCAAAAAGCAUUGCCACUGUCACUCGAAUGAGCCUGGGAAUGGGAGGAAUGGGAGACCGUGGGAAGCUAAGUCACGUCAUGCCAGGCAGGCUCUCCUAAACCAACCAAACUUAUCAGGAGCAAGCUGAACUGAAACCAGCAGAACCAUGGAGAAAAACAUGCUGGGGAACUCUACCAGAGAGCAGAACCAAAUCCUAAGGAACACAUAGGACCUGCAGAUAGGGGGAUCUGGCAACAUUUGCCUAGUGAGGUUUCAGAAUUGAGAGGAAUUAGUGACUGCUGAGUACUUUUUUUAUCCCCUUUCAAAUACGACACCUCACCGAAAUUCUAAGGCACAGUGUCAGAAUAAUCCAUUAUUAGUGAUUGUUCUUUGUCAUUCACUUAUUCUAAAAUAAUUUGCUCACUAGUUCCUCGUCAGCUAUCCUAUGCCCAAUCCCUCUGUCACUUGAAAAGUUUUCUGAUAUUUCAUUGCCUUUUAAUAUUUCCAAAUAAUAAAAUCUCUAUUUAUUCAGUUAUUCUUUAUAAGAUUUGGUUUCCUUGUUGCUUACCUUUGGGACAUAGUACAUCUUCCACUGUGUCUUAAAAUAUAGGGCCUAGAAUAAAAGGUCACCCCAGAUAUGCCCUGACAAGAGUAUGGAAUUCAGAAAGAACUAUUUCUUUCCUUUUUUUCUGGCCAUGAAAUAGUGAUGGCUUGUUGAACUUUUUUUUUUCACAUGAUCCAUAAUCAGUCCAGCUUCCUCACUGAUAGUUACCUAUAGUUGUUCUGCAAGUGGACUAGAAUAGCAGUGUCUAGUUGUCCAUAUCCAGUUUCAUUAUUUUAUUAUGGACCAGGUAACAGAUUGAGCAGAUCUUUCAAAAAUUAUGCUUCCAUAACCAUACUCUUUUGCUUUACUUUGUGGCAAAGGAUGAUAAAAUAAAUAUUUUGGUCUUUAAAAUAUUUAAUGUCUACAGAGUCAAAUCUGAGCCCUGAGCUACAUCACUGAAGACAUCCCAAGAGACUAAUAUUGAGUAUAUUUAUUGGCACACUUUGAAUAUGGUUAUUAUAACAGGUGUUAAUUUAUGUAACUCAGCCAAAAUUCACUUCAUAUGUCUACUUCCCAGGCAAAAUAACUUAAGAAACUUUGUCAAAUAUCUGACAAAAUAGACAUACAAUGUUCACAUCAUGUUAUUCAAGUUUAUAAUAAAAAUCCUUUAUAAAAAUAACUAGAUUAAUGUCACAGGAUGAAUUCUUAUUCAUAGUAAAUCUAUAAUAUCUUUAAUAGCCAAAAUAUUGCCCAUGGGUUCAUAACCAUUGGGUUAACUAUGGUACACAGACUUAUAAAACAGAAUCUCUGUAGUCACUCAGGCAAUGAACAACCAAUAGCUUGUGUGGCAAAUGCUGUUAUUUACCAAAAAAUAUAUUUCCCCUUCUUUUUAGCUGUAACUAACCUCAUUUUACAACCUCCCUUGCAGCUAAACGUUGCCAUAUAACUGAGUUCUAACUGUGAAAUGUAAGCAGAAGUGGUAUCUGCUAUGUGGGAGCCAAAUCUUUUAAGAAGAGAAAUGUCCCCCUUACUCUUUCAAUUCCAGGUAGGGAUGAUGAUUAGUAGGGCUCUGGGAAUUGCAGAGUCACAUCCUGGAUGCACCCUGUGCCUGAAUCACCACAUUGAGGACAUAAUCUGCCAGUGAUAAACAUUUACUUUUAGAGAGGGAGAGAUAAUCAGUGUGUGUACCCGCGUGCUCACGCUGGCUGGCGGGUAAGGUGGAAGCUUGAGUCUUUCAAUUUGAAGCUGUUGUACAGAAAUGAAGCUAACCAAAGUCAUAUUAUUUUAAUCCUUUAUUUAUAUUCGCUACAAAAGACUUUUGGCUAUGCUUAAGGAAUUUAGUGAAAUAAUUCUUAAUUCCCCUAAGACAUACAUUUAGUCAUUGCAAAGUCCUGAUUAUGAGGAUAAAAUUCAUUACUUCAAAAUACGUUCACAGAAAGAUUUUCUAUUUUUUUUUCCUUCUUUCACAGGUCAACUCUUUACUUGUUUAAUGAUAAAAAUUAGUUAACAAAGUUAUCCUUCAUUUGUUAUGUGGUGUUCCAAGGUCAAGCUGAAAAAUGACUGAAUGCUUAGGUGGAAGUAAAGCAAUGACCCCAUAAUGCACAUUAUCCUCCAAUUCCAUUUAUAUAUGGAUGAUGUGCUGUAUCGUAGAGAAGCUAGAGCUAAUUAAUGCUACUUUCUGAAAUAGGACAUAGCAGUUUAGAGUCUUUGCUAGUCAUAGACUGGGCACUGUGGGAGAUUGUCUAUGGGUUGCUAUUUGACAUCCCUCCUCUCAUAAACAUGCAGUUUUUCUGACCAAACCACAAACCAGAUACUAUCCCUUUGAGGCUAUCCAAGGUCGAAGAAACUCCUCUAGUGGAAAUCGACAUGGGAGACCAUCUUAAUUUCAAAAACAACCUAGAACUUCUCAGAGCACUCUCUGGUGGUAAAGCCAGAACCCCCAUUCCAACAUACCUGUAAGGAGAAAGAUGUUAAGGGGAAAGGGAUAUUGUAAAUUGUCUCUCAAUCUUUACUUGCCCCCAAACAACCUGUAAACCAUACUUUGGCUCAUAAAAGCAAGCCACAGACAUGACCGAGUUGUCUUCGUAAUUAUAUUUGAAAUUCCUCCUUUAGCUUAAUACAUUUAUUCUUGGUAUUCCAUUUACAUGGUUUUCUGAUUAUUCCUGGAUUAUGGGCUUUAUACUGGUGCUUCAGGACAUUGCUCUGGGCUUUGUCACAGUGUAAAAUGUGCAAUAGCCUUUCCUAGUUUUGCAGACAACAGUGUUCCUCAUGUUUUUCUCCUGGCUUUUUAAUUUUUCAAUGAUGUGAGAAACCUCUGCCUCAUCUUAUUACAUGGAAGUCCCGCCUAAUCUUUCAACUCUCCCUCACAUAAUACUGUCAUUGGUAUUAAAUUGCCCUGUACACUAUUCACACAUAAUAGCUAAUCUCCUGCAUAAUCAGCCUCAUUACUUGUUAGAGCUCAUCUUCUGUUACUUUCUCAACAUCCGAUGCCUCCUUUUGCUGUAGGUAUUUUCACUGGUUGUUCUCCCCUACAAUGUGGAUGAACCUUGAAAACAUUAAACUGAAAGCCAGAUGCAAAAGGCUGCAUUUUUUAUGAUUCCAUUUACAUGAAGUAUCAAAAAUAGGUUAGUAAAAAAAAACCAACAACAACAAAAAAAUAGGUUAGUCCACAAAGACAGGAAGCAGAUUAAUGGUUAUCAAAGGAUGGGGGAAUGAUGGGGAGUGACUGCAUAACCUGUACAGAAUGUCCUUCUGCCGUGAUGAAAAUGUUUUGGAACUAAAUAGAGAGGAUAGUUUCACAAACUAUGAAUAUACUAAAUGCCACUGAAUUGAGCACUAUAAAAUGGUUCAUUUUAUGUUAAUUGAAUUUUACCUCAAUAAAAGUUACUAGAAAUUAAAAAAAAAUAAUGACUUCCUAAAGCCUCUUCUGAUUUUACACUGCUAUUUUCCUUACCUCUUUCAAGUCAUUACUCUCAUGAAGGUUUUCCUAAUUAAUCAAUCAGAAAUUGUAACCUUCCUAUUUUUUUUUUUUUUUUUUUUUUUUUUUAUUUAUGAUAGGCACACAGUGAGAGAGAGAGAGGCAGAGACACAGGCAGAGGGAGAAGCAGGCUCCAUGCACCGGGAGCCCGAUGUGGGAUUCGAUCCUGGGUCUCCAGGAUCGCGCCCUGGGCCAAAGGCAGGCGCCAAACCGCUGCGCCACCCAGGGAUCCCGUAACCUUCCUAUUAAUAGUGCUCAUCCUCCUUCCCUGUUUUAUUUUUCUCCUAAGCACUUACCCUCAUCUAACGUACUAUGUUUUUCCUUAAUUAUACUGUUAAUUGACAAUCCUCCUCUACUAGAAAGUACACUAUACGAGAUCAGAAAUUUUUCUUUAUUUUUAAAAAUAUUUUAUUUAUUUAUUCAUGAGAGACACAGAGAGUGAGAGGCAGAGACAUAGGCAGAGGACAAAGCAGGCUCCAUGCAGGGAGCCCCAUGUGGGACUGAUCCUGGAACUCAGAUCACACCCUGAGCUGAAAGCGGAUGCCCAACUGCUGAGUCACCCAGGCGUCCCAGAGGUUUUCCUUUAAUGUUUGUAACCCCAAUUCUUAAAAAAGUGCCUGGCACGGAAAAAAGUGCUUAAUGGAUGUUUAUUUAAGAAAUAAAUGGGUGAAAAAAAGAAAUGAAUGAAAGAAAUGAAAUGAAUGAAAAAAAAAGAAUGAACCUCACGUGUCAUUUUUUAUGUGUUGCUCUAGUCUCUAUAUUCAGUUGGAUCAUUUCAAUACGUGUCUUAGAGAGCAUAUGCAUUUUUAUUUAACCCAUCCAACUAUAUCUUCUGAGAGUUUUACCUCAUCUUCUAGUCUGUGCUGGAGUUAAGGUGAGUCAAGUAGUUGACUUUUUAGAAUCAUUGAGAUGUGGAUUUGAAUCUUAGUGUACAGAUCCUGGCUGUGUGAGUUACAAUUACUUUAAUAAUUUCCUCUAGGAUUAUGUUACCUCAACAAUAAAUAUGUGUAUUAGUCAGAGUUCUUUCUACCAAGAACAAAACCAAUAGAUCUCCUAAUAUAUAUCAGUUGGGUCCAGAGUAACAAAGAGCAUAUAUAUAUAGAGAGAGACACAGAGAGACAGAGAGAAAUGGAGAGACAGAGACAGAAAAAGAGAGAUUAUUACAAGGAAUUGGCUCAAAAUUCCAAGGCCUGUAGUCAACAAGCUGGAGACCCAGGAGAGCUGAUGGUGUAUGUCCAGUCUGAAAGCUGGAAAGCUCAAAACCCAGAAUGAGCCAAUGUUUCAACUGAGUCUGAAGGUAGGAAAACAAAACAAAACAAAACAAAACAAUGUCCAAUAUUGAAGUUAUUCAGGAAGAAAGAAUUUUCUCUUAUUGGGAGAGGUUCAGCCUUUGGUUCUAUUCAGGCCUUUGAUUGGUGGAUGACACCCACUCACAUCAGCAAAAGCAAUCUACUUUACUAAGUCUAUUGAUUUAAAAGUUAAAAUUAUCCAAAAAUGGGAUGCCUGGGUGGCUCAGUGGUUGAGUGUCUGCCUUUGGCUCAGGGCAUGAUCCCAGAGUCCCAGGAUUGAGUCCCACAUUGGGCUUCCUGCAUGGAGCCUGGUUCUCCCUCUGCCUAUGUCUCUGCCUCUCUCUCUGUGCCUCUAAUAAGUAAAUAAUUAAAAUCUUUUAAAAAAUUAUCAAAAAAUACUCUAACAGACACACUCAGUAAUAUUUGACUGAAUACUGAGUACUCUGGCCCAAUUAAGUUUACAGAAAAUUAACAAUCACAAUACAUACAACAAUAUCUAACUUACAGGGUUGAUUUGAGGGUUGGAUGAAUAUAUUAAAUGCUACAGAAUUAAAGCUUAGUAUUUAAAUUAUCUUCUGUAUUUUUGCUUUGUGUUGAGAUACUCUUAACUUCAGCUGUUAUUCUUGAUUUCUAUUUCUCUGAUCAUUUACUGACACAGUUGUUUAGU
rnacentral:lncRNA from 1 species